rnacentral:rRNA from 1 species
GUCCGCACGGUAAACGAUGGAUGCCCGCUGUUGGUCUGAAUAGGUCAGCGGCCAAGCGAAAGCAUUAAGCAUCCCACCUGGGAGUACGCCGGCAACGGUGAAACUCAAAGGAAUUGACGGGGCCCGCACAAGCGGAGGAACAUGUGGUUUAAUUCGAUGAUACGCGAGGAACCUUACCCGGGCUUGAAUUGCAGAGGAAGGAUUUGGAGACAAUGACGCCCUUCGGGGUCUCUGUGAAGGUGCUGCAUGGUUGUCGU